GAAGCGCCACGACGUCGUUGGGCGUCGGGACGGCAGAGCAUCGCCAUAUCAUCUAACUGCUACUCUAUGGAAUCUUGUUACAGUUCCCUGAGAAUUUCGGUCAGUGGAGUGGCUUCGUGCUGGCCGAGGUUCGUUUCCCGGCAGGGUCAGUGCUUCUCUCGUCACCAAGAUGUCCAGGCUGGUACUGGAGCCUGUUUGCCCUCCUAUCUAAUGGGAACAAAGCGGCCGGAGCAUGAAUCCCAGCACUCGGUGUCUGUCAUCUAGUGUCAAAGUGUCCAUACCGGCUCUGGAGCUUAUCCUACCCCAAAACU